GGUCCGCGGUAAAGCGCAGCAGGAAAAAAGUCGAACGAAGUGGACACGCAGCGGCGCCUCCCCGCCGUGCCGCGAUGAGCCUCUCCCACCACCGCCUCCACCUCCACCUCCCGCCCGCCGCUCCGCCGGCGGCUGACCCCUACUACGUCUACGCGCCGCACGCGCACCCGGACCCACAGCGGCUGGGCGUCGUCACGCUCUUCGUCGCCGGCCUCCCCGACGACGUGAAGCCCCGCGAGAUCCACAACCUCUUCUCCCGCCGGCCCGGCUUCGACCAGUGCCUCCUCGAGUACACCGGCCGCGGCAACCAGGCUGUUGCUUUUGUGUCAUUCUUCACCCAUCAUGCGGCCGUGUCAGCAAUGGUUUCGCUAAAUGGAUCUGUUUUUGAUCCUGAGAAUGGUGAUUGUUUGCACAUUGAGCUAGCUAAGUCGAAUUCACGCAAACGUCAUGGAGGCGGUGGGGAUGUCUACAGAGUUAUUGACAAGCGAGUACAUAGAACAGAGGAAAAUUCUGACAAUGAUAACAACGUCGAUGAAGGUGGUGAUGAUGUAUCUGCCGAUGGUGAUGGUGGCGACAGUAAUGGGCAGGGUGGAUCUGAUGAAUCGUUGGACACAGAAAAUGAUAAUUCCAGCGACAAGGAUGAGUUACCUGCGGAUCAAAGUGGUGAACCAGGGAUCAAGCAGCAGAAGCGGCAUUCUUCUUCAAAUGGUCAACCAGACAAAACUUCGACUGAAACUCCACCUUGUUCUACUUUAUUUCUUUCAAAUUUUGGAAAAGCAUGCACAGAAGAGGAGCUAGAGGAACUAUUGUCUAAGCAACCUGGAUUCCAUGUGCUUAAAAUGCGUCGUCGUGGUGGAUUGCCUGCAGCAUUUGCUGAUUUUACGGGGCCUAUCUUGAGGAUCAAGCCGUGGGGUCCAUCCCCUUGUCCUUGCUGCUGUGGCCAUAUGUUCUGCCCUACAUGACAUAAGGAUAUUGAGUCCUCUACAGCUGCUAUGAAUAACCUCCGAGGCACCAUCCUGCCUUCUUCCGAUGGUGAUGGUUUGCAAAUCGAGUACGCAAGAUCGAAGAUGAGGAGUAGCUAGCUCGCAAUAGCUGUUGUUCUUGGAUUGGGCCUCGAGCCAUGGACUAGAAGCUAUCAUGGGGCACCCUUGCACAUGUAAUUGCCUGUCUGGUUUGUAGCAUUUGGAGUUCAGUUUUUGCAGUAUUCUUUAUCUAUGUAUGAGAACUAAGAGCUGUGUAGUCCUGUGCUACAUGUUGUGUAUCA